rnacentral:rRNA from 1 species
CCUACGGGUGGCAGCAGUAAGGAAUAUUGGUCAAUGGAGGAAACUCUGAACCAGCCAUCCCGCGUGAAGGAUGAAGGGGCUCUGCCUUGUAAACUUCUUUUGUCUGGGGCGAAAAAGCUCGAUUUAUCGAGAACUGACGGUACCAGAAGAAUAAGCACCGGCUAACUCCGUGCCAGCAGCCGCGGUAAUACGGAGGGUGAGGACGUUAUCCGGAAACACUGGGCGUAAAGGGUGUGUAGACUCAGUAGUAAAAGGCUGUGGCUUAACCAGGGAAUUGCCAUUGAUACUGCAGAGCUUGAAUGAGGUUGAGGUUGGCGGAAUGUGACAUGUAGCGGUGAAAUGCUUAGAUAUGUCAUGGAACACCGAUUGCGAAGGCAGCUGACUGGACCUAUAUUGACGCUGAGGCACGAAAGCGUGGGGAGCGAACAGGAUUAGAUACCCCUGGUAGUC